rnacentral:lncRNA from 10 species
GUGUUGCAGCCCUGUGGGAACAACUCAGCUGGCCACCUGAAGCCCUGAUGCUCUGGCUUGCACUAUUACUGGGUUUCCAGAUUAGAACUUCGCCUGUCCUGCAAGUCUGACCUGAGUCUGAGCUGGGCCUGCCUUCAGCUUUCUCCCUAUUCUCUGGAUGCCUUAUGUGACCUUCUCUUGGGGCAUGGAUCAGGCAGCCCUGCAUAAAAGCAUGGUCCCAAAUCUUGACUUCUCCACUCACAAGCUGGCUGAUCUGAGGUUCCUCUGCUUGAUGGUUCUAUGUGCAAUACAUUUCUCCCUUCACACCUUAGGCACUGAUGGUGCAUGACAAACCGUGGUGAUGGUUCUCCACUGAGAAAAGAUGAUAAAGUCUCUUAGAAGCAAUACUCUUCUUACCGUAAGUAUCUAAUCCACUUCCAGUGGCCAUCAGAGCAAAUGGAGGACA